GGCGAGCUAUAAGUGGCCAGCAGAACUCACCGGACCAAUUCACGGUAGAAAAUCCAGAAUCCAGAUCCUCACUGGAAAUCGCCAUUGAAGCGCAACGACCAAGCAAACGGAUCCCCGUCCUUGCUCUACAAUUAUUUCAAUUACUCUCGAUCGCUUGAACCUGCACUACCAAGCAAAGAGAACAUUAAAUUAAAAUGCCUUACCGGAGAAUCAUGGAGGUGGAGCCGCCUAGUCCGUUAAGAUACAUAAUCGGAGCAGCGAUAAUGAUGAUAGGGGUGGUCUUACCCGUCGGUUACAUGAUGUUUCGUACCCGGCGUGUUCCUUCUUCUUCCUCUUACUCCAAACAGACGUAGAUUUGAACUCUGGUAUUAGUAGAGCUUCAUCAGUGAUUAAUUCUUCCUGAAGGCAGAGGCUGAACAAAGUUUUGAUAUAGAGAAAUCGGGACAAGAGACCCUUAGAUACAAUUCCUUGCCACCUGAGUUUGAAGAUUUGCAAAAAGAAUAUGGUCUUGACUGAUGUGAAAAUACAAAUGUAAAUGCACUGAAACUACAAUUUUGUUAUGUUGCUGUUGGGAUUUCUAGGUUGAGUUCAUGACUGCUGUUGGAUUGAAAACUGAAAUUUUGUUGUGCUCGUGCUUGAGAAUUCUAAUUCAAGUACAAGUAAAACAAAAUGGAUACAAAUGUGUGGUUUGAUUCGAUAGAAAAUGGAUAUCAAUGUCCAUUAUGAACUUUGCCCCUGCCUGCUCUCUUUUUGCUCAUAUAAGCUUUGCCAGUCAUGGUUUUCCAGUCAUUCUGGUUUUGAUUGCUUUUGGCAACUCUCUUAUCAUCUCUAUGAGAAUAUGAGAAAAGAAUUCAUGUUUUUA